AACAAACGCUGGCGGCGUGUCUUAAGCAUGCAAGUUGAGCGGCAAGGGGGAGCGAUCCCCCCUAGAGCGGCGGACUGGUGAGUAACACGUGGAUGAUCUACCCGAGGCAUGGGGAUAGUCACUAGAAAUAGUGGGUAAUACCGAAUACGGUGCGCAUCGUGAGGGUGUGCAAGAAAGGUGCUACGGCACCGGCCUAGGAUGAGUCUGCGUCCCAUUAGCUGGUUGGUGAGGUAAGAGCCCACCAAGGCGAUGAUGGGUAGCCGGCCUGAGAGGGUGUACGGCCACACUGGGACUGAGAUACGGCCCAG
rnacentral:rRNA from 1 species